UUAGCUAUAGUUUAGUGGUGAGAAUUCCAUGUUGUGGCCGUGAAGACCUGGGUUCGAAUUCCAGCAGCCACA
rnacentral:tRNA from 1 species